CGGGCCGGAAGGAAUGUUUGCAACACAACUGGAGAAGAUCCAGGGGAGCAGCUGGCGGAGCGCAGCCACCCAGCCGGGGCAUCAGUGGGCAGGGCACGGCUCGCCAUUGCUCUCGCCUCCCUGGCUUGCAUGUGGCGGGGACGGGCAGUGCCAGGCCGAUCGGGGACGGGACAGAGGAGGGGAGGGAGCCCGUGAAGGAGGGGCCUCCGCAAACGCCAUUCAAACCCCGCAGGCGCCACUGCCGCAGCUGGCUGCUCCCGGAUUCCUCCUGCAGAGGCUCGUCCCAAGCAGCCCCCUGGCACCCAUGCUGGUUUCCUCUAAUGCGAUGACUCAGCAGCCCCAGGAUGAAUUUGACACAAGUGUGGAGAAUGCAGAAGCUUGGAUGAAAGCCAUCCAGGAGAGACUGCGGAUCAAUGACAACACCAAGGGACCUCGGUCUGCCCUGGAAGCCAGGCUAAGAGAGACUGAGAAAAUUUGUGCAUUGGAGCCAGAAGGUCGAUUGAAAAUGGAUUUGGUCCUGAUGAAAGCAGAUGCCCUUCUUCGCUGCAUCAGCGAGGAGGAAAAGCAUGAGAUACUAUCCAAACUGAAAGACAUUAAAGCCAUGUGGGAAGAAACAGCCAUCUACAUUACUCAUUGCCACAGCCGUAUCGAAUGGGUGUGGCUGCACUGGAGUGAAUACUUGAAAGCCCAGGAUGAGUUUUACGCCUGGAUUCAUAACAUGAAGGUUACCUUGGAGCCUGACAUAGAGCUGCAGCUCGGUUUAAAGGAGAAGCAAUGGCAGCUGAGCCACUCCCAGGUUCUGCUGAACGAUGUCCUAAAUCAGUCAGUCCUGCUGGAAAGGCUGCUGGAGGAAGCUGCUUCCUUGUUUAACAGGAUAGGUGACCCGAGUGUCAAUGAGGAUGUCCAGAAGAAGAUGAAGGUGGAAUAUGAAGAAAUAAAGGCAGAAGCUCAGUGCAGAGUGAAAUUGCUUGAAAAGAUAACGAAGGAACAUGAGCAAUACAAGACCAGCGUUGACCAAUUUCAAUCGUGGCUGAAUGGUGUGACUGAAGGAUUGAACUGCUGCAUCGGAGAAACAACAAAGUUGCCAGCAGACAAUGGGAUAAAGACAUUGCAGAACAUUGCCAAAGAUGUCAAGCGUGGUGAAAAGAAAUUGAAAUGCCUGGAGGUUCAGUCUACAGAGGUGAUCCAGAACACCUCCCCCCUAGGAGCUGGGAAGAUGAAGGAUGAGUUGGAGGAGUUGAGGAAAGCCCUGGAGAAGUUGAAACUAAUAUGUGUUGAGGAAGAGGAGAGAAUGCAUAAGAUCCUUAAGUCAGAAAGUGCCUAUCAGUCCCAAGCCAGACAGUUGGAAGCAGAAGUCCAGGAAUUCAGAAAGAUGCUACAAAGACUAGAAGAUGACCUGGAGUCAGGGGAGAAGCCGAAGAGUGAAGAGGACUUAGUAGCCCUGUGGAGAAAAUACAUCGCAACAAGAGCAGCGCUUGCAGCAGAAGAGUCAAAGGUUGAGAGACUGAAGGCUCAGCUUAAGGAAUUGUUCCGGUUUUCACAGAAUAUACAACCACUCUCUGACGGUGUUGUAGCCGCAAUACGGGAAUAUCAAAGGGUCAAGGGAAAGACAUUUAAAAUGAGCACUGGGACUGAAACUGAGCUCAGGCAGAGUUUUCAAAAUCCACUGCGAGAGUUCCAGCUGUGGAAGCCAUCAGCUCAGAGACUUCUGGACUCCACUGCUAACGUUGCUGAGCCCUCCCUGACACAUGCUUUCUUACUUCAGAUUGAGGCAUGCCUGGCUCAGAGCUCCCAAUUCAAGGAGCAGUUGAUGAUGUUACAGCUGAAGAAGGAUUUGCUAAGCAGUAUCUUUGGUGAGGAGAGAGCAAAGUCUCUCCUUGUGGAAGUAACCGAUAUGGCAAAGGAGAGAGAAAUUCUACACAAAAGUCUGCUGCAAAGGAGAAGCAGACUGCAGAGUUUGGUAACUCAACAUAAAGACUUUGACGCAGGCUUUGUGCCUCUGCAGAAGAAGUUAUCUGCUAUCAGAGCCAAAGUAGAUCUAGAGAAUGAACCACAACCUGACCUUUUAGGUAAAGAAACACGACUCCAGAGACUACAGAUGAUCCAAGAAGAGUUGGCAGAGUUUAUAGUUCAAAUGGAAGAGCUGGAGAAUCUAGUUCAAUCUAAUCCCACCCACAGGCAUAAAAUGAACCAGCUUUCAUCUGACUAUCAGAUACUGAAGAGAUCUCUGGAGAUCAUCCUGGCGCGGACUGAGAAGCACGUUCGGGAGCAUUGGACGUUCAAUAACAAACUGUCAGACCUUCAGCGGUGGAUCACAAUGACUGAACAGAAGUUGGAAUCCUAUCAGGAUGCCAGUGGGGAAAGGAACACGGAGAGCAGAGUCGCAGACCUGGAGGGGCUGCUAGCUGAAUUCCCAAGUAAAGAGAUCCAGUUGCACCUUGUUGGGGCUCAUGGCCAGCUGGUGAUUGAGAGUUCUUCCCCAGAGGGGGCAGCACAUGUCCAUACUGAAAUGAACCAGCUGACAGAAUCUUUGAGAUCACUCAAAAAAAUGACAAUCAGCCUCCUCAGCAGCAUGCAGCCAAAUACAACAGUGGUUGAUACGGGGAAGAAUAUAACCAUUGUGGGUAAUCCACUGACGACUGGGUUUGCCUUCGGCUCUUCAGCGGUAACUCUCAAGCACGCCCAGGUGAAGGUGAGCAAAGAGGAAGAGAACAGUCACCUCCUUAAACUCAUGAAGGACUUUGAACAGUGGUUACAUGUAGAAAAUGACAAACUGAGCAAGAUUCUUGUCAUGAAACCCUCCAGUUGUGAAGAAGUUAAAGCAAUACACAGCAAGCUAAAGGAGCUGCAGUCUCGUGUUCCUGAGGGGCAACGUCUUUUCGAAGAUCUCCGUAGUCUUCAGACAGUUGUUGGGACCUCUGAAGAUGUGGAGGACCUGCGUUAUCAAUGGAUGCUCUACAAAUCUAAACUCAAAGACUCCACCAGCUCAUUGACUCCUAGAUCUUUGGAAGAACCCGAUGGAUUCAGAAAGAGACGUCCAGGGAGGAUGUGUCCUUUCCUGCACCGCGUGUGCUGGGCAGCACUGCCACUGCAGAUACUCCUGCUGUUCUUGCUGCUCCUGGCGUUUCUGCUCCCCUUGGUGGAGGAGACCCACAGCUGCAAGUUUGCCAACAACUUUGCCCGCUCCUUCAACUUGAUGCUGAGAUACGAAGGCCCUCCUCCAACUUAACUCCUCUACAGGCACGUGGCAAGAAGUGACUGGUUUAGACAUCCAGGCUGCUUUUUCCUGGGUGUCUUGACUAUUGCUAGUCCUUUAAAUCUAGGGCUUCUAACAUGGCCACUAGAUUAACUGGAAACAUCAUCAAAUAAACGCAGCAUAAGCAAGAGCGAGUCAGCCAGAAGCAUCAAAAUUGAAGAACUCCAAAGAAUUAUUAUUUUCUGGCAGUAGGGAAAACCUCUCUGUGUAUUUUGCCUAAAAGUCAUGUGUUUGGAUGAACUUUUGGGAUGGUCUCUGUGUUUCCUGGUGCUGUUUAACUCCCGGUGAGCUGUACAUAGGGCUUUGUGACCCCUUUAUGGUCCUUAUGUAUUUUGGAGAACACAAGGUUAUUAGGGAGAAGGCAUAAGAUUGCACUUGUGCAAGUUUAAACUCUUCAGUUGAAGUGCAACGGUCAUGAAGAGGACUGUGAUUGCUACCCUAAGAGGUGCCAGCAACAGUAGAGGGGAGACCAUGCAAGCAUAGAGGCAACUCUCUGACCUUAGGAAAGUCAGACUAUGGUGACCUAUAGAUUAUAUCACCAUGGUAUAUUGGCUGCUCAAAUCAAUACACAAAUGACACUGCAACUCUUACUAACAGCUUUUCUCUCUGCAAUAGAAUCCUCCUUGUGGGUUAUUAAUUUAGGGGGGCACCAACAGGGUUUGUGUGACCAAGCCCCUACGAGCCCCUUUCAUGGUGAUAGGCCUGUGUUAGGCCAGUUUUUCUGAAACAGCCAAAUAAAACUGGGGAGCCUUUUACUGUGUUGCGGAUAUUGUGUAUAACGCAGGGAAUUUACUUCUAGAAGGGAGGGAGGAGAGAGUUGUGCAUGAGAUUUUCACAGGCUUGAAAAGAAAAACACUCUUUUAUGGGUGAGCGAGUAGUGGGCUGACCAAGUUCAGGCUGCCGUGGAGUCUGCAGUUGAUCAGUGGGAGUUGAUGCAGCCAACGAGAAUUACUGUAAAUGGUUUUAGAGGCCACAGGAGUAUCUUAGGCAGUUAUAAAUAUGUAGGCUGGAUAUUAUUGAAGAACCACCUGUUUUAGAUGGUUACCUCGCUGCAAGAGGACAAAGGCUGUUGUUUAGGUCAUAACACUGAAAGGUGGCAAGUUCAAUAAAUAAAAAAUAAGAGGGUCAGAUCCUUAACUGGUGUAGAUGGGCAUAGCCUCAUUAACGUUAAUGGAGCUAGGCUGAUUUAUACCAGCUGAAGAUGUGGCUCAUAGUCAAUAGGGAUCUUACAGAAUGGUCAAAAAACUAAUUUUGUAGUUCUUCUUCGUCUAAUGCCUGAGCACUAGAUUGUAACUGUACAAACGUCCUUGCCAGUAUAAUGAUGUCAUUUUGGAUCUGAACACUCGUGAUAUGGUGAGGUAAUACUAAGGGAAAAAAGAACCAUCAUUAUAAACCUAUUAAAUUAGAAAAAAUGGAGCAAGAUUGCAGAAUGAUAAAUAUUGAAUGAAAUAAAAACCAACAGUGGGGAGUUAAGAGGGAGUGAAAUUUUAAGGCGUAUUCACUUUGUGGAAAUCACCUUGCAGUAAUACCAGUGCUAUGUGUAGGAGGCGAGUAUUACAUCCAGCAGAGAUUAAAGACAGAGGGUUUUUUUUUCCCUAAAUUAAUAUUUCAGGCUUUCUGAAUUUCAUUUCUUGACAUUUCAUGAAUGCAGCCUCAGCUUCCAACUGCGGAAAAACACUCUGAUAAACACACAUUGCUGGAGCGAAUGAAACUGAAGUCUCAUCCGGUUUUACCGUAGCAUUCAUGGUAUUACUAAGGAUUGUAAUAUAAUCCUCUUCAAUGAAUAACCCUAACAGAUGUUAUCAGGGUUGCACUGUAUUAGCAGUGGACCUCUUGAUAGAACUCCCUCAGCGGAAGUUCAUAAAUUGUUCUAAUGGGCUGCUUGAUUUGCCUGGCUGUUUGAGCAGUGUGGAAGAGAGGUGGUUAACAGUGUCCUUAAAAUAAGCAUUAUUCCCAUCUGGUAUCCAUUACAAUGCUGUUAAAUAUUUCAUGCUUUUCAUGUUACAAACAAAUAAAAGCAGAACUAAUCUUUUUGUUUAAUGUUCCUUGAUUGGCACUCUGGAUGAAUAAGCUGUAUAUUUGAACUGCCAAUCUUGCUGUGGCUCCUCUAGGGGUUUGAGUGGAAGAUAGAGCAGAUCUCCAUGAACUUUUGAGGUGGGAUUUUUAUUACACUAUUGAUAUAGAAAAUGAUAUAGAAAAAUCCAGAUGAUGAAUGUGCUGUUUAAUCAGCUGGGAUUUCUUCACUUGCAAAAAGAUAACUUGAUGAAGUGCAAACAGAGACAGGGAGCAGACGGUGACGGCUUGUCGGCUAUAUACAGGACUGUCUCCUGCUGUGAUGGCUGGGAAACUCAAUAGCUAUUACUGCCACUUUGCCCUUUUAUAGCUGCUUCCAUCAGAGGAUCUCAAAGCGCUUUACCAUUAUUGAUUCUUUAAACUUCACAACUCCCUGUGCGGUAAGUAUAUCUUGUCACUCCCGUUUUACAGAACAGGAAAUUGUACCAUAGGGAAGUUAAAUCCAGCAUUUUCAAAGCUGGGAUACCUAAAUCCAGAAUUAGGCACCUAGAUGAAAGUGUCCUCAUUGGCUAUGUGGGUGCUUGGUACCUCUGAAAAUAAGGCUACUUUUUUCAGUGCCAAAGGCCUUAAUCCUGCAGUGAUUUCCGCAUAGGUGGACCCCUGCACAGUGCCUUUGGAUUACACAGGGGGCUUCGUAGAGGCAUAGUGUUCCACUUGCACGGACUUCGUCUGAGGGUCAGGACCUAAGUUUGGAUGCAUGUGCCUAACCUUAGACACCCACUUUGGAAAAAGUUGGCCUAAGUGAUCUGCCCAAUGUUUGCUUCAUGUCUAAAGCAGAUUCUGGGAUAGAAUCCAAUCCUCUGAUUCCUGUUCUUUAACCACUAUGCCAUGCUACCCUUUCUUUGACAUUUUGUAAAGUAUGUUGUCAUCUUAUUCUCAGCAGUUAGCUAGAGUAAGCAUCCCACCAAGCCUACCCUCAAGAAAGAUAGUGUGGGUGUGGAUAUAUAUAUAAAUUGGGUCAAAUUUCACCCAUUGGAUAAAUCCACAGAACUUUCCCCCUUCCCCACCCCCAGCGUGUAAUGCAUCAGAUAUACAGUUUCUGACUGCUUAUCAGACUGAAUUCAGAGGCAGAGGUGGGUGUUAAACAAGAGCAGAGAACCCUGAUGAUAGGCUGUAAACAGGCAAGUCUUUCAGUAGGAGCCUGGACUAUGCAGAUCAGGACACACUCACAGCAUCUUACAUAUUUUAUUUAAUAUAGAAUCAUAGAAC